rnacentral:rRNA from 1 species
AGAUUGAACGCUGGCGGCGUGCUUAACACAUGCAAGUCGAGCGGUAACGCGGGAGCAAUCCUGGCGACGAGCGGCGAACGGGUGAGUAAUGCUUGGGAAUCUGCCCAUUAGUGGGGAACAACCAGCCGAAAGGUUGGCUAAUACCGCAUACGCCCUACGGGGGAAAGCGGGGGAUCGAAAGACCUCGCGCUAAUGGAUGAGCCCAAGUCGGAUUAGCUUGUUGGUAGGGUAACGGCCUACCAAGGCGACAAUCCGUAGCUGGUCUGAGAGGACGACCAGCCACACUGGGACUGAGACACGGCCCAGACUCCUACGGGAGGCAGCAGUGGGGAAUAUUGGACAAUGGGGGCAACCCUGAUCCAGCGACGCCGCGUGUGUGAAGAAGGCCUGCGGGUUGUAAAGCACUUUAGUGGGGAUGAAAAGCUCAGGGUUAACACCUCUGGGUCUUGACCUAACCCACAGAAAAAAGCACCGGCUAACUCUGCGCCAGCAGCCGC